GGGUCCGUGGCGCAGACUGGACAGCGCGUUGGCCUUCUAAGUCAAUGGUCGAGGGUUCGAAUCCCUCCGGGCCCG
rnacentral:tRNA from 1 species